rnacentral:rRNA from 1 species
CGGGUUGUAAAGCACUUUCAGCAGUGAGGAAGGCGGAGUCGUUAAUAGCGGCCUCGUUUGACGUUAGCUGCAGAAGAAGCACCGGCUAACUCCGUGCCAGCAGCCGCGGUAAUACGGAGGGUGCGAGCGUUAAUCGGAAUUACUGGGCGUAAAGCGCAUGCAGGUGGUUUGGUUAAGUUCAGAUGUGAAAGACCCGGGGCGUCAACCUCGGAAUAGCAUUUGAAACUAGGCAGACUAGAGUACUGUAGAAGGGGGUAGGAAUUUCAGGUGUAGCGGUGAAAUAGCGUAGAGAUCUGAAGGAAUACCGGUGGCGAAGGCGGCCCCCUCGGACAGAUACUGACACUCAGAUGCGAAAGCGUGGGGAGCAAACAGGAUUAGAUACCCUGGUAG